AAUCCCUAGAUCGCAUUCUUAUACGGUUGGAAAAUCUAAAUCUGUCUGAAAUCCAAAUUUGCGUCGAACCACUAUAGCUUUCACCGCCAUCACCAUCCAUCGUCCGCCGCCAUUACAGUCGACCGGUGCGCCAUUCCCGGCAUCAGUGUCAACAAGUGAGCCCUUCUUUCCAGUCUUGCCAUUUUCGCCAGAACUGUCCACAGGUGCGCCAUUCCCUCCAUCACUGCAUCUUCAGUUUCUCUCCCAUCACUAUCCACAGGUAUGCCAUGUUUGUGAAAUUUUUUAUUUUUGCCUGAUUCAUGUUCUGUUCUAUUCUGCUUUUCUAGUAACAGUAGCUGAGUUCAUUGAUUUUAGCUGUGUUGAGUUGUUAAGUCUGAUCCUUAAGAGUAGGUGCUUCAUAUGAAAGUUUUUAGGUUUAGAACUGUAAAUAAGUUGUGCCAAGUUAGCCAAGGGUAGUCUUAAUUCAUUUUAAUCAAUUUGGGUAAGCACACGCUUUUGCUGGGGUUGAUUAGCUUUUAAUAUUUUAGGCAUGAGAUUAGCCUGAUGCUCAUUAUGAGUUCUGUGUUGAGUUUAGCUAUCCCUGUCUCCAAAACUUAUAUAGUUGAAUCUGGCAGCCAUCUUGAAAUUUUAGAUCAGUGUAGGAAAUUCAUGGGCAAAUUUUU
rnacentral:lncRNA from 1 species